rnacentral:tRNA from 1 species
GAGGAUGUAGCUCAGGGGAAGAGCACAUGCUUAGCAAGCAUGGGGCCCUAGGUUCAAUCCCCAAAUCCCCA